GGGGCUGUAGCUCAGUUGGGAGAGCGCCUGACUGGCAGUCAGGAGGUCAGGGGUUCGAUUCCCCUCAGCUCCA
rnacentral:tRNA from 5 species